ACGGAGGAAAAGAAACCAACAGGGAUUGCCCCAGUAGCGGCGAGUGAAGCGGCAAAAGCUCAGAUUUGGAAUCGCUUCGGCGAGUUGUGAAUUGCAGGUUGGCGCCUCUGCGGCGGCGGCGGUCCAAGUCCCUUGGAACAGGGCGCCAUUGAGGGUGAGAGCCCCGUGGGACCGUUUGCCUACGCUCUGAGGCCCUUCUGACGAGUCGAGUUGUUUGGGAAUGCAGCUCUAAGCGGGUGGUAAAUUCCAUCUAAGGCUAAAUACUGGCGAGAGACCGAUAGCGAACAAGUACUGUGAAGGAAAGAUGAAAAGCACUUUGAAAAGAGAGUGAAACAGCACGUGAAAUUGUUGAAAGGGAAGGGUAUUGCGCCCGACAUGGAGCGUGCGCACCGCUGCCCCUCGUGGGCGGCGCUCUGGGCGUGCUCUGGGCCAGCAUCGGUUUUUGCCGCGGGAGAAGGGCGGCGGGCAUGUAGCUCUUCGGAGUGUUAUAGCCUGCCGCCGGCGCCGCGAGCGGGGACCGAGGACUGCGACUUUUGUCUCGGAUGCUGGCACAACGGCGCAACACCGCCCGUCUGAAA
rnacentral:rRNA from 1 species